GCAAAUAAAUUAUUAGUUUAUAUAUAUUCCUUAUAAGUAUUUACUUAACAAUGGAUUUGUAAUUAUUUUUUUGCACUGGUUUUUGGAUAGUGAUGACAGCUUUUUGUCACUGUGUUGGUUAUUAAUUGUAUUCCAGCAACGGAUUGAUUGAUAUCUUAUACUAUAAAUUCCAUACCGAGUGGUACUAACAUUUGGAAGUAUUAGGUUAUUGUUUGAUGCAUUUCUAGUAUUAUGGGUAUGAGUAUUUGCAACCAGAGUGAAAAUGCCUUGCAGAGGUUUAGGCAAAUUUUUAUGAUAAUGAUCAUACGCAAAUAAAAAGUCUUUAAGCUUAAUUGUGUCAGGAAAGUAAGUAUUUUGGUUUUAUUAAAUAAUAGAGAAGUAGGGCUGUUUGCAGGUUUGAAGUUCAUAAUUUUAUUUGCUUUAUUUUGAAGGGAGAUAAUUCUAUUCAUGUAGGUGCUUUUGUUAUGUCCCCACAUUUGACAUCCAUAAGUUAGAUGUGAUGAGAUGAUAGCAUGAUAUAUAUUAGUUAAAAUAUUAUAGGAAACAUAGUGUCUUAUUUUAGAUAAUAUCCCAAUGGAUCUGGAUAGUUUUACUUUAAGAUUAUCUAUGUGUAUAUGCCAUUUUAAAUGUUUGUCCUGAGUGAUCCCUAAAUAUUUAUUAGAUUCAGAAGGUAAAAUUUUAUGGCCGUUGAUUUUUAUUUUGAUAUCAUAGUCAAUAGAUUAGUUUGGGUGGGUAAAAAGGAUGAUUUCUGUUUUACUAGCAUUUAGGGAUAUUUUGUUGGCCUAGAGCCAGUUGCAAAGGAAUCUUAGAUCAAGGUUUAAUUGCUUCCUUAUUGAUUUUAAAUUAUCACUAAUUGUCAGUAGGACUGUUGAGUAUUUAAUUGCAUUGUUUAGAUCAUUAAUAUAAAUUAGAAAUAGUAAAGGUCCAAGUACAGACCCUUGGGGUACUCCUAUUGUUAUAUUUUGGACAUUUGAAUCAAAACCAUUUAUUGAAACAUAUUGUUUUCUGUUACUAAGGUGUGAUCUGAACCAGGAGUUAGAUAGUCCUCUAAUUCCAUAAUUUUCAAGUUUUUUUAAAAGGAUUGUAUGAUCAACAGUGACAAAUGCCUUUUGCAGGUCAAUGAAUGUGCCACAUGCAAAGUUGUUGAAAUCUAAAGUUUCUCUUAUUUUCUCUGUAAUACUGAAGAGUGCAUUAUUAGUGGAAUGAUUUUGUCGAAAGCCAAAUUGUAGAACAUAAAUACAAUUGUGAUAGUCUAAAAAAUUGUAUAAUCUGGAGUGCAUGAGUUUUUCAAAAAUUUUAUUAAUAUUAGAGAGGAGUGAUAUUGGGCGGUAAUUGUUACAUUCUAGACUAGAUCCUUUAUUUUUAUAUAUAGGUAUAAUUUUUGCAAUUUUUAAGUUAUCUGGAUAGAUGCCAGUCGAAAAUGAUAGAUUUAUUAUCUCGCAUAGGGGUGUUGAUACAUUGAAUUUAAUAAGUUUAAAAAUAUUGCUGGGUAUACUAAAAGGUCCGUUUGUUUUAUUUUCAUUUAAAGAAGAUAUCAGUGGUAUUAUUUCAUUUUCAGUAGUAGGAUUGAUAAAAAAAGAAUUGUGAUUUGCGUCAUUAAGGUAAUUAUGGAAUGGUUUAUUAGAAGGUGAAAUUUUAUUUUGAAGUUUUACUCCUACUGUGGAAAAAUAGUUAUUAAAGCAGUUAGCAAUAUCAACAGGAUUAUUGUUAAUUUUAUUGUUAAUUUUUAGGCUAGUAGGAACAGUGGAUUUCAUUUUGGAUAUGCUAAUAAUGGUUUUGAUUCCGUCCCAAGUUUUUCUAAUAUUAUUCGAGUUUUCAAUAAAAUAUUUUUGAUGUUGUUUUUUACUUUUUCUGAUCAAAUCGACAAUUAAAUUUCUGUAUUGUUUAUAAUUAUUGUGUAACAUAUUUUUAUAAUUAUUCUUUCUGUAAUUUAUGAAUUUUUUCAGUAAUUCAUCUCUUAUAGUGAUAGAUUUACAUAUUCCUUUUGUAAUCCAUGGUUUAGAUUGUUGCUUGUAUUGUUUUUUUGACCUUGGUUAAAGUUCUGUUCUUCUUUUCAAUGUGUUGUGUCCUUUUUAUUUUUUUAUAUUUUUUUUAAUUAAUUCCUUGUAAAAAGGGAGAAUUGUGCUUUUACAGGCAUUUUCUCUAGGGGAGUACAACCUCUACCUUAUUUCCAAAGACCUAACAGGUUGAGUUCAUCAUUGCGGUGGCUUGCCACCUCUUUGUAAAUUAUUUUCUCUCAGAGAAUAGUUAUAGGUCCAAGUUGGGCAGUACUCAUGCUUGUAAUAAGCAAGAAAGUGUAUUCAGCACCUUCUUCUGGGAGCCUAAUCCCAAUUUUAUUUACAUCCACCGUAGACAAAAUACUUCAGUGCUGUAUUGUAAACCUUUUUUAUUUCACGCAUACAUAUUGUUACUGUUAUUUGCCCAGGAUUACCUAAUGAGGUUCUAAUGAUACUGUUAUCAAUGAGGGUCCUAUGAAAAGUGUCUAGUACAUUUAAAGCAUUGUAUUCUGGGUAGCCGCCGCUGGUUUCCAAGUCUGCCUUUCUAAGGGGCAGUUUUUUGGUCAGUCCAGCUUUCUUGUUUCCAGGUGUACUGCUUUUCAGUCUUAGUCCCAACGUUUCUAAGAGCUGGGUUUCAAGUCUACCUUUCUAAGCCCUGGACUCUGAGUCAGUAGGUAUAAGCAACAACAAUACGAUUUGUAGUUGUGAACUCUUCUUUUUCCAACGUUUAAUAAAGUUAUUGGUUUUGGCGGAUGGUGUCAAUGAAUGUGGCUGGUGUCUUACAGGAGGCAGGGGAUGCUUACUCAAGGGACCGUGCCAGAUCCCAAGCAUGAGUAAAUUUCACCAAUCCUCAUGUUUCCACAUUCAUAGGUGUUUAUUUCAGUACAGCCGAAAUCAAUUAGCUUUUCGGUCAUCCCUGUAAAGGAGAGAAAACAGAAGUUUUCCAGUUGCUUCUUAAAAGGCUAGUUAUAUCUGCAUUGCGAUGUAAUUACUCCUAUUCUCUCACCCAUUAGAGCUACGUAAGGCAUGCAUGUACAACAGUUGCUCAAGAUACAAUGCUAUUCUCCUGCCAAAACGAUAAAUCUACAUUUUUAUAGCUUCUGCCAUAGCUCGGACCGUGUUUAAACCGAAGACCUUCCGCAUCGCUCUGUCACAAAGCCCACAGUUGUUAGAUACUUGGGUCAGUUCUAUGAAAUAAAUGCCAGUAAUGAAAGGCAGAGCGCAGCUCUUGCAUUUUCUUUAUCACAUGUUCCAGAACUUUGGUUAAAUCUUCGUAAAGUGGGACUGUUUUGUGUUUUCUCAGAUUUAUCUGUCUGUUGUGCUUAGCCUGUAAGUAGCAUCUGUAAAAAAAAUAUUGCUUCCACUUCUUCCUAAAAACCUGCCGACUUAUUCUGCUUCCUCAUCUUUACCUUUAUUACACAAGUAAAACUGCAAUAAUUGUGCUGCUCGUUUGAUCAGGUAAUAAAGAUUUUUUCUUUGGUAUAUUUCCCAAAGUUUGAUUCGGAUCAAGAGUUAUUUUUUGUGCACAAUGAUCGAACUUUAUCGCAUAUUUUAACGAGUUGAAAUGCCACAAAACAAAUUAAAAUACCUCCUUUUUCUCCUUACAAGUCAUACAUUUUAGCCAUAUGUUAUACUGUUUACACUUCCGUACAAAAACAAGACAACAUAUGUACUUUUUGAUGGGGAUUUCAUCAUUAAUAAGGAAAUCAUAAAAGUGUAUUAACAAGGACAAAUGCUUCUUCACUAACAGUGGGGCAUACGAUUGUUUUUCGCAGUACUUGGCAAAAAAUCAUUUCUAAUAAAGUUUUGGUCCAGGAGGGCUGCCAAGUCAUCCAUUUUCAAAGCUUUCAUGAUAUUUUCAAUGUUUGAAACUUCACUAGAUGCGGUACUGGCAUCUAAUCUCCCUCCAUUAACUGACGUCAACUGACAGGUAUCGAAAAAUGCGUUUCUUGAAUACACUUUUUCGUGGCCAUACACGUAAGCUGUUUUAUGUGUUUUUUAUUAUAAUUCGGUACAUAUCCUUUUCUAGAACCGCUUCCCUAAAUUCUUUACAAUCAUGCCUUCAUUGGACUUUGCGCACAUUAAAAACUUGUUUAGUUGACCCGUUUACUGAUUUGACAUAUAGGUAAUUGAAGUUGUGCCGCAUUCCAGCCUUUAAACUUUUAUAUUCUAUCAUUGUUACGAUAUAAAUGACAUUGCACAGAUCUUCAAAAUUGUCCCUAACAAACGAACUAAUGUCAGAAAAAACCUUCCAAAGUCUUAAGCGUUUCAUACAAACGUCCUAAUGUCACCGAGAGUUUUGAAUUAGAAGAACAAAAUAAUGAAACUGCUGGAGACUCUAAUAAGCCAGCAUGUGAGCCAGCUGGAGAAAACUCGUUUUACGAGCAAGCUAUGAGAGAGGAGGAGGAUGUAACUCCAAGGCGAAAGGUAAGGACUUCCAAAAAGAAGUCCAAAAAGGGAGGAAAAGAAAAAGAUCUCCAUCCUCCUCCUCGUCUUCUUCUUCAGAUAGCUCUUCAGAUGAAUCAGGAGAGGAAAACAAAAUGGUAAGUGGAAACUCCCAACUGGGAUGGCAGAUUAUGCCAACCAGCAUUUUCAGAAUUAUAUAUAGUUGUCUAUGCUAAUUUGAUAAACAUUCACAGAUGUACCUAGUAUCACUUAUCUGCAUUAUAUUCUGCAUAAAUAAUUAAGCAAUACUAUUCAGAAUCCUGAAAGGAGCAGAUUUAACUAAUAUUAUUUUUCAUUACUUUGCAGGUUACGCAUACAAAUUGGACAAUGUGUCCAAUGGCUCCCGCACUGUGCUAUUUUGUCGUUACGAAUAAAUGUCUGGUACCAAGCAAAACAACUUCCGACAUGGAAAUAAAUGUAUGUACCAAUAAUUUUAUGUAUAUUUUUCUUAACUUAUUUCUUAAUUUAUUUAUUAUUUGGUCUAACCUGGUAAGCAUUCAAGCAGUAUUAUAAGAUGCCAGUUUUUAAAACAGUGAGACUGUUUACUAUUUACUCUUCUGGCAUCCUUGUUCUGACAAAUGCUACAAUUGAGCUGUUAGAAAAUAAUUUUUAGGGCAAACUUAUAUUUCUUUAUAUAUGAUGGAGUUUUUCCACAACCAAAGUUGACAAAAGUGAUUCAUAACUUUUGCUGCACAAAGCAAGACUACAUAAACUUCUAACAUGUGCUUUAACAUCGUUGUAAAAUCGACUUAGAACAGAUAGUCGUUCACGACAUUCGACAUUCCUGUUAAAUUUCUGUACUUUCAAUUAGUUAUUGUUUUUAUGGCUUUUCUUUUGCAAUAUUUAGGAAUGAGUGUUAAGCCGUUGUUACUCCUAAUUUCAAAAACUAUCUCUUUAUCAUAAGUCUUUGCGACCUCAUUUUUAUCCUCUAUUUCUUCAUUAUUAGUAUUAAAUAAUUUUUUUGAAUUUUUAUAUGUUUUUUCAACUAUGUUUAGUGAAAUCUGAACCUAGUUAGUAAAAUCAAUCAAAUCCUUCAAUUCAUUUAAAUCCUUUUAAUUUGGCUUCCUGAAUCAUAGAAAACAUGCAUCUGUACAGUAUGAUGUUUGACUCAACUAAAUAAAAAUAUAUACAAAACCAUAACUUAGUACACUGUUCCUAAAUAAUAUCAAACAUAUAAGAAGGAAUUUUUGUUUGCGUAAAGAGUGCUAAUAAACCUAUUUAAUUUGUCAGCCAUAAUGAGCAAUAAAGAUUGUCUAUUCUGGUACAGGCCAUGGAUUUGUUUUGUUUUUUUUACAGUAAAAUUAGAUGAAGGCCUAUUUCGCAACUGGAGAGCACCUUUUUUAUAUCGCCAGUUGAUCCUCAUUCUUCCUGACUGUGUGUGCACUUACUUCCAGGCCCCGCAGGCACAGUUUUAAAGUGGAGAUUAAUUUUUGAGAGACUUUUGCCAGUGUUCAUCUUGUAUUCCACCCAUUUGGCAUAACUCAGUCCGAGGGAGAAAAACGUAUGACAACAUACAGUGAAGCAGCAGGAUCGUAUCUCUUCUUUUUCAAAGAUAUUUGGUAAAUAUAGAUCAAUGUUUGUCAUGGCACAUUCGUGUGACCAUUUGCCUUAAUCAAAAUGAUAAUAUUUAAAAUGGAUUUUUAUUUUUAAUGCAUUUAGCAUUGAUGCCACUUUUGACAAUCGCCUUAGCAAAUAUGUCAAUGAUUCUCCAUAUGGAAACUGUGUUAUGCGUUCAGUUCAAAUUGAAGGGCAAUUACACCUAUGCUUGUUUGCAUUGACCAACCUCUCAUCAGGAUCGUAAAAGAAAAUUUGCCAUGAAUUUGAGCAUGAUUCAGUCAAUAAGUUACAGCAAAUGUAAUAAAGACGAGUCCAUUUCUAAUAAAGAUACUAUCCAAAAAGAUCAAAUUGAUUUUCAAUUAAAAGAAAGAAUGACGUGUCGUGAUGGUGUAGUGCACGUCGAUAUUGAGCCUGGUGUUGAUACUUCUGAAGAAAAAGACUGGUUGCAGAAAAAUCCCAAGACAUUCAGAAUUAUUUAGUUGAGAUUUUGAUACUCAGUGACCUGCAGCUAGGUUGAGUAUAAACAAAGCAAGACUUUAAAUAAUUCAAUGUCCCACACCAGGUCAAAUAUGUUUUGCAUCGUCUUAGAGUAUUCAAAUUUUUAAUUAAAAUUAGUUCUUAUUUUUUGACAGAAACUUUACUUUCUUCUAUAAAAUUAUUUGUAAAAAGAAAAGCAUUCAAAGUAUUAUUAUUUGCCUUUGUCUUCAUAUUGUUUUUUCAAACGUAAAAAACAGCUUCUAAAUUCAAUAGUUAAGUAUAAUAUAUUCAAGGGGGGUUGUUGCAUUUUGUUUCGUAUACUGUCUGGCUUAUAUUAUUAAUAAUAACAACAAAACAAUAAAAUUUGCAUGCAGCGUACAAGACCUACUACCAAAUAACUAUGGGAAUUUAAUAUUUAAAUACCGCAGAUUAUUUGAUAAGCAUUUUACGUUACAGAUGUAUCAUAAUCAUAGUAAUAUCUCUCUACACCAUUAUUAGAAUUACACUGAGUUGGAGAUGAAAGAUGAAAAGUUGUCUUGGGUGUCUUUCCAGUGAGUUUUUUUUUUUGGUUAUUAAGCUUGUACUGUCAUCUAAUUGUUCUCUUAAUUUUAAUUUCAUUAUUUUUGUUUUGUUUCAGAAAUUUAAAAGAUGUUCCUGAAGAUGUAGUAGUGAAAAUGAUACGCCAUGUAGGAAAAAAAAUUUUGGAUGGAAAGGUUUACUGUGAGAGACAUGAAGCAUAUAAUUUAAAGGGAAGAAAAAGAGGUGCACAUUACUCCAUGUUUAUAUUUUAUUGAAUAAGUAUAGAUGGAUAUUCAUAAUUUUUUUUCAGCUUGCCUUGCAAUGGAGGUAUCCUUUGGUAAUUUCACAGAUUACUUAUUACACAAAUUUACACAGAUUACACAAAUUACUUUUGCACAGUGCAUUCCAAAGUAAGUGCCUUUUUCAGCAAAUUACACUCCUCAUUGGAUUUUUAUUCCAAUAAUUACUUCACAGGACACGUGACUUUUUAUUUAGUAUUUUGAUUAUGUGGCUAAAGUGCUCUUUCCAGAAACAAAGACAUUGCUUCAGAGUCUCUUUAGCACCAAUGCUGAUA